AGACCAUAAUGGGCUAGAAUAACUGCGUUAUCCUGCCUUAGUACUCCAGGUUGUGCAAUACUAGAUCGUUCUUGUAUUUCAUCGCCUGUCCUGAACUAUGAACUAAUGAAUUAACAGACCAAGUCCUCCUCUGAUCUACCCACGCCGUACUCCUGGACAAGGAUGAUCUCUUCAAUCUAAAGAGAGUCUGAUAGAGCAGAUUCAAACCGCCUGCAGAGUGUCUCCCUGCUGGGCACCAUCG